AAUAUUGGUCAAUGGGCGCAAACCUGAACCAUCCAUGUCGCGUGCAGGAGGUCGGCCCUUUUGUUGUAAACUGGUUUUUUACAGGAAUAAUUGUCGCUACUUGUAGUGAUUUGAAUAUUCUGUAUGAAUAAAGAUUGGCUUACUCUGUGCCAGCAGCCGCGUUAAGACGGAGGAUUCGAGCGUUAUCCGGAUUUAUUGGUUUUAAUGGGUCCGUAGGCGGUUCUUUAAGUCAGUGGUGAAAUCCCAGAGCUCAAUUCUGGAACUGCCAUUGAAACUGAAGAACUUGAAUAUGGUUGAGGUAGGCGGAAUACGUUAUGUAGCGGUGAAAUGCAUAGAUAUAACGUAGAACACCAAUUGCGAAGGCAGCUUACUAAGCCAUUAUUGACGCUGAUGGACGAAAGCGUGUGUUCGAACAGGAUUAGAUACCCUGGUAGUCCACGCCGUU
rnacentral:rRNA from 1 species